rnacentral:rRNA from 1 species
CAGUAGCGUAUAUUAAAGUUGUUGCAGUUAAAAAGCUCGUAGUUGAAUUUCUGGCGGGCGCGCCGGUCUUCCAAGUGUUGUACUGGGCGCAGUCCGCCAUCCUUGUGGAGAGGGCUCGCAUUGAGUUGCGUGUCGGAUCUGCAUCAUUUACUGUGAAAAAAUUAGAGUGUUUAAAGCAGGCUGUCGCUUGAAUACAUUAGCAUGGAAUAAUAAGAUAGGACUUCGGUCUAUUUUGUUGGUUGCGAACCGAGGUAAUGAUUAAUAGGGAUAGUUGGGGGUAUUCAUAUUUAAUUGUCAGAGGUGAAAUUCUUGGAUUUAUGAAAGAUGAACAACUGCGAAAGCAUUUACCAAGGAUGUUUUCAUUAA